CCUUUAGUUUUGAGGUUGGUGUACUGUGUGUGAGUAUACAUAUUUAUCACACACGGUCACCAUCUUCGAAAGUGAGGGUGC
rfam:Neotoma lepida isolate 417 scaffold_23, whole genome shotgun sequence.